UACAGAGGGUGCGAGCGUUAAUCGGAAUCACUGGGCUUAAAGGGCGCGUAGGCGGGCCCGCCAGUCUGUGGUGAAAUCCUCCGGCUCAACCGGAGAACUGCCUCGGAUACUGCGGGUCUCGAGGGUGAUAGGGGUAUGCGGAACUAUCGGUGGAGCGGUGAAAUGCGUUGAUAUCGAUAGGAACUCCGGUGGCGAAGGCGGCAUACUGGAUCACUUCUGACGCUGAGGCGCGAAAGCCAGGGGAGCAAACGGG
rnacentral:rRNA from 1 species